UGCCAGACUCCUACGGGAGGCAGCAGUGAGGAAUAUUGGUCAAUGGGCGAGAGCCUGAACCAGCCAAGUCGCGUGAGGGAAGACGGUCCUAUGGAUUGUAAACCUCUUUUGCCGGGGAGCAAAAAGCGGUACGUGUACCGCAUCGAGAGUACCCGGAGAAAAAGCAUCGGCUAACUCCGUGCCAGCAGCCGCGGUAAUACGGAGGAUGCGAGCGUUAUCCGGAUUUAUUGGGUUUAAAGGGUGCGCAGGCGGAGGUGCAAGUCAGUGGUCAAAUUGCGGGGCUCAACCCCGUACUGCCGUUGAAACUGGUUUUCUUGAGUGAGUGAGAAGUAUGCGGAAUGCGUGGUGUAGCGGUGAAAUGCAUAGAUAUCACGCAGAACUCCGAUUGCGAAGGCAGCAUACCGGCGCUCAACUGACGCUCAUGCACGAAAGUGUGGGUAUCGAACAGGAUUAGAUACCCUUGUA
rnacentral:rRNA from 1 species